UACGUAGGGUGCGAGCGUUGUCCGGAAUUAUUGGGCGUAAAGGGCUCGUAGGCGGUUUGUCGCGUCGGGAGUGAAAACCUCGGGCUUAACUCGGGGCUUGCUUUCGAUACGGGCAGACUGGAGGUAUGCAGGGGAGAACGGAAUUCCUGGUGUAGCGGUGAAAUGCGCAGAUAUCAGGAGGAACACCGGUGGCGAAGGCGGGUCUCUGGGCAGUAACUGACGCUGAGAAGCGAAAGCGUGGGGAGCGAACAGG
rnacentral:rRNA from 1 species